AGCUCAAAAACGUGAUUUUUGAGUCAUUUCUUAGAUUUUCUUUUCCUCUCUUCUUCUUCCCUCUUCCAUGUCCGAAACCCUAGCUCCCAAAACCUUGAUUUCCUCCACUUUUCUCAACAAAUUAACCAUGAAUCUUGCAUCAAGGGUGGAGAAUAAGAGGAGAUCACCACUUUCUACCGAAUGGAAUUCCGAAAUUUUUGAGGGCAUAACCUGAGAAGGACGAGCACUCCGUUAUAGCACUGUCCUGCAUUUGGAGGUCAGCCUAAACUUUUAAUGCUCGUCUUCCUUGUUAGCCUCUGUGUGUCCAAGCAUUUGGGUGAAGCCUACCCA